AGAGUUUGAUCAUGGCUCAGAUUGAACGCUGGCGGCAUGCCUUACACAUGCAAGUCGAACGGCAGCACGGGAGCAAUCCUGGUGGCGAGUGGCGAACGGGUGAGUAAUAUAUCGGAACGUGCCCAGUCGUGGGGGAUAACGCAGCGAAAGCUGUGCUAAUACCGCAUACGAUCUCUGGAUGAAAGCGGGGGACUCGCAAGGGCCUCGCGCGAUUGGAGCGGCCGAUAUCAGAUUAGCUAGUUGGCGGGGUAAAAGCCCACCAAGGCGACGAUCUGUAGCUGGUCUGAGAGGACGACCAGCCACACUGGAACUGAGACACGGUCCAGACUCCUACGGGAGGCAGCAGUGGGGAAUUUUGGACAAUGGGCGAAAGCCUGAUCCAGCAAUGCCGCGUGCAGGAUGAAGGCCUUAGGGUUGUAAACUGCUUUUGUACGGAACGAAACGGCUCCUCUUAAUAC
rnacentral:rRNA from 1 species